rnacentral:rRNA from 1 species
GACGAACGCUGGCGGCGUGGAUUAGGCAUGCAAGUCGAACGGUAUCAUCCUUUCGGGGGUGAGAGAGUGGCGAACUGGUGAGUAACACGUAGGUUAUCUACCCUCAAGACGGGGACAACCCAGGGAAACUUGGGCUAAUACCGGAUGUGAGCAACUUUUAGUUGUUUGAAAGGUGGCGUAAGCUGUCGCUUGGGGAUGAGCCUGCGUCCUAUUAGUUAGUUGGUGAGGUAACGGCUCACCUAGGCAAUGAUAGGUAGGCGGCCUUAACGGGUGGUCGCCCACACUGGGAUUGAGAUACGGCCCAGACUCCUACGGGAGGCAGCAGUCGAGAAUAGUCUACAAUGGUCGGAAGACUGAUAGUGCGACGCCGCGUGAACGAUGAAUCCCUUCGGGGUGUAAAGUUCUUUUAUAUGUGAGCAGUGCUUCUUAUAUUAACAGUAUGGGGAGAGAGAUAUUAGCAUAUGAAUAAGCAACGGCUAACUCCGUGCCAGCAGCCGGGUAAACUCGU